GUGUUCUAUCCUGCCAUUGCACAAGCAUGAAGCUAAAAUAUGCUAAACUAAAUCUCUGUCAGGGGUAAUAGAUAGAUAGAUAGAUCAGAACAUUGGGCCUUCUUUUCUAGCAACUUGUAAAGAAAACAAUGAGCACUUGUUCUUUUUAGAAGUCUGAACAACUCAAGUAUGGAGCUUAAUUAUGUCUGAAUUAGUACAUGGCAGAUCAAGUUUGUUGCUUGGUUAGCCGAUCCCUGCGCUCUCUUGUUCUUGAUACAUCGUGUGCAAAUUUUUGUGACAUGUGGCUAACUGCAUAUCCUUGUGAUGAUAGAUGGUAAGUUUUGUUAUCUUCUACUAAUUAACAGUUUGACAUGUAGGUAGAUGCCUGAAUUUCAGAAGAUGGGGAGCCGAGUCAAAAUCAAGUUAUGGAGUUUACUACAUAAACGGUAACGUACAGUACAAUCAUCGUGCAAUAACAACACAACAUAUAUGUAGUAACAACGUACGGUCGAAUCCCGGUGUCUUCGACUAUGUGCAUAUAUAUAGCCUACAAAGCACUAGCUUGCAAUGUAUAUAAAUGCCAAACAGAAAAGGAUCCUCUGAGUCUACAUGUCAGUAGCACAAGUACAUAGCAGUUAUUUCAGGGGAUUCGGUUCCAUGCUAAGCAUGCAUAUACAGAGAACCAGGUAAUGACUGAUCCUCUUAUCAUGUCAUUAUGAGUAGCUAGAACAUACAGUAGCCAGCUAGCUCACUUUUAGAGAAGCAGGUAAUGCUUGACAAAACAUAUCGGUCUUGCUCUUUGUUUGAACCAUAGAUAUCUGCACAGAUGGUAGCCAAUACCAUUCAUUUGCCUGUGCAA
rnacentral:lncRNA from 1 species